rnacentral:tRNA from 1 species
UCCCUUGUAGCUCAACUGGUAAAGAAUCCGUCUGCAAUGUGGGAGACCUAGGUUCGAUUCCUGGGUUGGGAA